GUCCACGCCCUAAACGAUGUCGACUAGUUGUUGGGGUUAAAUCCCUUAGUAACGAAGCUAACGCGUGAAGUCGACCGCCUGGGGAGUACGGUCGCAAGAUUAAACUCAAAGGAAUUGACGGGGCCCGCACAAGCGGUGGAUGAUGUGGUUUAAUUCGAUGCAACGCGAAAACCUUACCUACCCUUGACAUGUGAGGAACCCUGCAGAGAUGCGGGGGUGCCCGAAAGGGAGCCUCAACACAGGUGCUGCAUGGCUGUCGU
rnacentral:rRNA from 1 species